rnacentral:rRNA from 1 species
AGCUUGCUCCCGGAUGUUAGCGGCGGACGGGUGAGUAACACGUGGGUAACCUGCCUGUAAGACUGGGAUAACUCCGGGAAACCGGAGCUAAUACCGGAUAGUUCCUUGAACCGCAUGGUUCAAGGAUGAAAGACGGUUUCGGCUGUCACUUACAGAUGGACCCGCGGCGCAUUAGCUAGUUGGUGGGGUAAUGGCUCACCAAGGCGACGAUGCGUAGCCGACCUGAGAGGGUGAUCGGCCACACUGGGACUGAGACACGGCCCAGACUCCUACGGGAGGCAGCAGUAGGGAAUCUUCCGCAAUGGACGAAAGUCUGACGGAGCAACGCCGCGUGAGUGAUGAAGGUUUUCGGAUCGUAAAGCUCUGUUGUUAGGGAAGAACAAGUGCGAGAGUAACUGCUCGCACCUUGACGGUACCUAACCAGAAAGCCACGGCUAACUACGUGCCAGCAGCCGCGGUAAUACGUAGGUGGCAAGCGUUGUCCGGAAUUAUUGGGCGUAAAGGGCUCGCAGGCGGUUUCUUAAGUCUGAUGUGAAAGCCCCCGGCUCAACCGGGGAGGGUCAUUGGAAACUGGGAAACUUGAGUGCAGAAGAGGAGAGUGGAAUUCCACGUGUAGCGGUGAAAUGCGUAGAGAUGUGGAGGAACACCAGUGGCGAAGGCGACUCUCUGGUCUGUAACUGACGCUGAGGAGCGAAAGCGUGGGGAGCGAACAGGAUUAGAUACCCUGGUAGUCCACGCCGUAAACGAUGAGUGCUAAGUGUUAGGGGGUUUCCGCCCCUUAGUGCUGCAGCUAACGCAUUAAGCACUCCCGCCCGGGGGAGUACGGUUCGCAAGA